GUUUGGUUUCAGGACGAAAAAUUGUGAAUCGUUUGAGACUGGGCUCUAUCACCUUCAAACCUUCUGGAAACUAUGACUAUAAGGAUCUUCAAGCAGCAUGGGAGAGUAAGAGCACCACCUGCAGUACCUAAUAAAUUGUCCAGCCUAUGGGUUUCACCUUGCUCCCUUCCAGACUUUGUAGUUCCUAUUGCUAAAGAAGCAUCUGCAUUUCAGUUCUCUCACCUGCAAAAAAAAGAGAUGGAAAUUUUCUACAAUUGCUCUUCAUUAGAGAGGGCAAUAGCAAGUCUUUUUAGUCCAUAAGCCUCCGGACCUAGAAGAGCCACAUAUGGGCUAACACAGAGAUGACUGCACAUCACCCAAAGACCUAGGACUUUAAGCUAAGUCUGUGACUGGCUGGAAUUUUUAUGUAAUCUCCCGCGGGAAGCUAUUAAAAGUGACCCAUCUGUUGGAAGAAGAGAGCAAAGGGCCAUUUGGUGACUAGAAGGGUAAACUGGGGCAUAGACAGUAAUGCUCACCAAAUAUUCUACUUUCUGCUUCAUUUCCACCCAUGUGACUGGUGAUGGCCAAUGAACUCUGAGUGGAAGCAAAGCAUCACUUCAGGGCUGAGGUAAUGAGAAGCCCACACCUGAGCUACAGCCUCUCUUUCCUUGAUGUGGAGACUGAGCAUGCCUCUUGUUCCAGAAAGUACAGUUACAAGAGGAAAACUCUUUGUCAGAUCUAUCUCUGAGAGGCAGUGUGGAACAGAGGCUCCUGCCAAGCUUCAUGAGGCAUGAGGCCUGAAUGAAAAAUAACCCUUUCUUGGGUUAAGUGCCUAAGCUUUGGGAGUGGUUUGUUCCUAAAGCAUAAUCUAUCCUAUCAAGCUAUGUUGGGUAAAGCUGAAAAUUCUGUAUAAAGUAGAUCUUUUAAAAAAAAGUCAUUUUAUUUUCCCUUCAUAUUUACGAGGAUAUUUUAGGUAGCUUAUCUUAUCCUUCCUAUUCACCUCUCUCUCUGCCCCAGGGGGCAAUGCAUUAUAAGAAUAACAGUGAGCAAGCAGACAGAGAGCUCUUCCGAACUCUAAAUACUGUGCUUCAAAUGCUGCAAAAUGUGGGUAGAAGAGUUUGUUUUUCCCUUCCACAUAAUGGUACAUCAGAGGUUAGACACACUCAGGAAAGGCUAUUGAGAAUAUCCUUUGGGAAUUCUGUAAUGGG
rnacentral:lncRNA from 1 species